rnacentral:rRNA from 1 species
GACGAACGCUGGCGGCGUGCUUAACACAUGCAAGUCGAACGGAAAGGCCCCUUCGGGGGUACUCGAGUGGCGAACGGGUGAGUAACACGUGCGUAACCUGCCCUUGACUUCGGGAUAACUUCAGUAAACUGGGGCUAAUACCGGAUAGGAAUCCUUGCUGCAUGGUGGGGGUUGGAAAGCUUCGGCGGUUUUGGAUGGACUCGCGGCUUAUCAGCUUGUUGGUGGGGUAGUGGCUUACCAAGGCUUUGACGGGUAGCCGGCCUGCGAGGGCGACCGGCCACAAUGGGACUGGGGUACGGCCCAGACUCCUACGGGAGGCAGCAGGGGGGAAUAUUGCACAAUGGGCGGAAGCCUGAUGCAGCAACGCCGCGUGCGGGAAGAAGGGCUUCGGGUUGGAAACCGGGUUCAGCAGGGGCGAAGCUUGUGGUGACGGUACCGGCAGAAGAAGCACCGGCUAACUACGUG